rnacentral:rRNA from 1 species
AUUGAACGCUGGCGGAAUGCUUUACACAUGCAAGUCGAACGGUAGAGGGGGCAACCCCUUGAGAGUGGCGAACGGGUGAGUAAUAUAUCGGAACGUGCCCAGUCGUGGGGAUAACGUAGCGAAAGUUACGCUAAUACCGCAUACGAUCUAAGGAUGAAAGCGGGGGAUCGCAAGACCUCGCGCGAUUGGAGCGGCCCGAUAUCAGAUUAGGUAGUUGGUGAGGUAAAGGCUNACCAAGCCAACGAUCUGUAGCUGGUCUGAGAGGACGACCCAGCCACACUGGGACUGAGACACGGCCCAGACUCCUACGGGAGGCAGCA